UACGGAGGGUGCGAGCGUUGUCCGGAAUCAUUGGGCGUAAAGGGCGCGUAGGUGGCGGGACAAGCGUGCGGUGAAAGCUCGGGGCUCAACCCCGCGUCGGCCGUGCGAACUGUUUUGCUUGAGCACUGUAGAGGCAGGCGGAAUUCCGGGUGUAGCGGUGGAAUGCGUAGAGAUCCGGAAGAACACCGGUGGCGAAGGCGGGACUCUGGGCCGAUACUGACGCUGAGGAGCGAAAGCGUGGGGAGCAAACAGG
rnacentral:rRNA from 1 species